CAGGACAAGGUAUUUAAUUGUCAGGACCCAGUGCAAGCAAAAAAAAAGAGCAUUGCAGAAUCUUCCUCAGCUACCUGAGAUGGGCUCUCUUUUCCCUGGAGGUGAGGAGACAUGUGCUGGAAUUGGGGAUCAGGCACUGGAAGUGAGAUGAGGAAACUGAAGCUAGGAGAGGUCAAGAAACUUGCUCA